GACGAACGCUGGCGGCGUGCCUAAUACAUGCAAGUAGGACGCAGUUGCGAACGGGUGAGUAACGCGUAGGUAACUACCUAUUAGAGGGGGAUAACUAUUGGAAACGAUAGCUAAUACCGCAUACUAGUAGAUGGACCUGAUUUGUAUUAGCUAGUAUGUAGGGUAAUGGCCUAACUAGGCAACGAUACAUAGCCGACCUGCGAGGUUGAUCGGCCACACGGGGACUGAGACUCUGCCCAGACUCCUACGGGAGGCAGCAGUAGGGAAUCUUCGGCAAUGGGGGGACCCCUGACCUGGCAACGCCGCGUGAGUGAAGAAGGUUUUCGGAUCGUAAAGCUCUGUGGUUAAGGGAGCGUUACUUAACCAGAAAGGGACGGCUAACUACGUGCCAGCAGCCGCGGUAAUAC
rnacentral:rRNA from 1 species